rnacentral:lncRNA from 1 species
UCAAAUGCUGCCCAGUCCCCGCUCCUCAGUCGCUUCCCUCUACUACGCGCCCGCAUCUCCCCCCGACCCCUCAGGGUCAGGCCUCUCGGUGGCUUUUCCUUUUUCUCUUCCAGAAACUAAGGGGUGAGACCGACGUUUGUGUGCCGGACGCGUGCAGGUGGCGGCGACGCUCCCGGGAGACGCGGGGGGAGAACCAGUCUGUGCGCGCGGCUGUGAGAAGCCCCGACCAAGCUUUCCACGCGCUUGUUUCGGGCAGCAGAGGACGCGAGGGCCGACUGCGUCCCCAGUGCGCAGGCUCGGCCGGGGGCGCGUAAUCAGGCAGCCCAGCGGUCCCUUCAAACCGAGGCAGGGAAGCUCUACGUCUUGGGGGCCGCAUGGUGCCGAGAGCGCAGACCAGACCCGCCCCGCCUCUCCGUGCCACGCACGCGCUCGGCUCCGCGCUUAAUGAAGCAGUAUCUGACUGUGUUGCCCAGGCUGGUCUUGAACUCCUGGUCUCAAAUGAUUCUCCUGCUUUGGCCUCCUAAAGUGCUGGGAUUACAGCAACGCGAAUGAAAUUUGGUGCCAUCACUCGGAUCAGGGGACCUCCCUUGGGAGAUCAAUCCCCUGUCCUCCUGCUCUUUGCUCCAUGAGAAAGAUCCACCUACGAUCUCUGCUCCUCAGACCAACCAGCCCAAGGAACAUCUCACCAAUUUUAAAUCGGAUCUUCUCAGCUUAGCGGCUGAAGACUGAUGCUGCCAGAUGACUUUGGAAGCCCCCUGGACCAUCACAGAUGCCCAGCUUUGGAUAACUCUUACAGUGGAGGAAGACAGGAAUAUCAGGUCUCUGAGCCCAAGCUAAGCCAUCAUAUCCCCUGUGACCUGCAUGUAUGCAUCCAGAUGGCCUGAAGUAACUGAAGAAUCACAAAAGAAGUGAAAAUGGCGCGUGCCUGCCUUAACUGAUGACAUUACCUUGUGAAAUUCCUUCUCCUGGCUCAUCCUGGCUCAAAAGCUCCCCCACUGAGCACCUUGUGACCCCCACUCCUGCCUAACAGAGAACAAUCCCCUUUGACUGUAAUUUCCCACUACCUACCCAAAUCCUAUAAAACGGCCCCACCCCUAUCUCCAUUCACUGACUCUUUUUGGACUCAGCCCACCUGCACCCAGGUGAAAUAAACAGCCUUGUUGCUCACACAGAACCUGUUUGGUGGUCUCUUCACACGGCGAGUGAAAUUUAGUAUUGUACCAAUGGUAAAUUGACAAAUGUACCACGUUUAUAUAAGAUUAACAGCAGAGGAGGCCGGGGGCGGUGGCUCAUGCCUGUAAUCCCAGCACUUUGGGAGGCCGAGAUGGGCGGAUCACGAGGUCAGGAGAUCAAGACCAUCCUGGCUAACACAGUGAAACCCUGUCUCUACUAAAAAUACGAAAAAAAAUUAGCUGGGCGUGGUGGUGGGCAC